UAUGGGAAAAGGAUCAGAAAUAGCCCUCAACUUUGUUUUAUCGGUUGAUUUUGCCCUUACCAUUAAAGUGAAGUUAAUUUUAUCCCUAUCGUUACUAAUUUCACCAUAUAUACCCCUCAUUUGGAUGGAAAACCCCAAAUUUUUAAAAAACCCAUUCCAUUUUUACCCGAUGCCCCGACCCUUUUGUCUCGUUUUUGGUGGAAUUUCACAUUUUUCACGUGCUUUAAGCCAAAACACCUGUUACCUCCUCUUCAUCAUCAUCUGCUUAUUCUUCUUCUACAUCAUUUUCACUGAUUGGUCGUUGUUUUCUCCCUUUGCGAAACAUUCUCACUAGUAAGAUUCUCUCUAGCUGCUGAAGGAGCGGUCUAGCCUUGUACGGCGCCGUCGUGAAAGCUGUGGAUUCGUUAGGAAAGUGUUUUCGGCGAGUGAAAGUGGAACCGAUGAAAACUGCAUAUGAUAGGGAAAUGGAAAGAUGAAAGGGAGGAUUUCUCUCACAAAAGGUACACACUUUAGGCACACAAUGUUUAGAAGGUCUGUAGAUAUUAUGCCUACUCGUUUGCUAACACAUUAAGUAAAUCAUAGAGGAACACAAAAAGAGGGAACCUGAUUUUUCUGUAAUACUAAGUCUCCAUGGAAGCUAGAAGUCAAGAAGAGCUAGGAGGCUGUUGGUGGUUGAUUUCUUCACCAAAAAUCAUUGGGUUUUCUUCUUUUUGAGUCUAUAAAUAUAGGUUUGGAAGCAAGCUUGAAGUUUAGAAGGCAAGCUUGGGAUUUGAUUCUCUCAAGACAAAGUAUGUCCUCACAUACUCGAGGGCAUAGUUCGUAUUCUUUUAGUUUUGUAUAAGUUCUUAUUAUGUAUUUCUUUCAAAUGUAAAG